GUGCUCACUUCUGCAGCACAGGUACUAAAAUUGCAAUGGUGCAGAGAAGAUCAGCACGGUCCCUGCACAAGGAUGACAAAAAACAAAAGCAGAUAAAUAAAAAGAAAUC